rnacentral:rRNA from 1 species
CCUACGGGAGGCAGCAGUGGGGAAUAUUGGACAAUGGGGGGAACCCUGAUCCAGCCAUGCCGCGUGUGUGAAGAAGGCCCUCGGGUUGUAAAGCACUUUCAGUGAGGAAGAACGCCUGGUGGUUAAUACCCAUCAGGAAAGACUUCACUCACAGAAGAAGCACCGGCUAACUCCGUGCCAGCAGCCGCGGUAAUACGGAGGGUGCGAGCGUUAAUCGGAAUUACUGGGCGUAAAGCGCGCGUAGGUGGCUUGAUAAGCCGGUUGUGAAAGCCCCGGGCUCAACCUGGGAACGGCAUCCGGAACUGUCAAGCUAGAGUGCAGGAGAGGAAGGUAGAAUUCCCGGUGUAGCGGUGAAAUGCGUAGAGAUCGGGAGGAAUACCAGUGGCGAAGGCGGCCUUCUGGACUGACACUGACACUGAGGUGCGAAAGCGUGGGUAGCAAACAGGAUUAGAUACCCCUGUAGUC